rnacentral:rRNA from 1 species
AGGACGAACGCUGGCGGCGUGCUUAACACAUGCAAGUCGAGCGGUAAGGCCUUUCGGGGUACACGAGCGGCGAACGGGUGAGUAACACGUGGGUGAUCUGCCCUGCACUUCGGGAUAAGCCUGGGAAACUGGGUCUAAUACCGGAUAUGACCUCCUAUCGCAUGGUGGGUGGUGGAAAGAUUUAUCGGUGCAGGGUGGGCCCGCGGCCUAUCAGCUUGUUGGUGGGGUAAUGGCCUACCAAGGCGACGACGGGUA